AGCCUGUUGUUAGGAACCUGCUUGGCCUCGGAUCUGAGGGGCUUUAGGUUGGCUGUGGCUGUGACUGAAGCAGUCGCCGGGGAAAGUCCACUGGAAGGAAGGCGCCAUGGACGAUCAGGGCUGCCCCCGGUGUAAGACCACCAAGUACCGGAACCCUUCGUUGAAGCUGAUGGUGAAUGUGUGCGGACAUACUCUGUGUGAAAGUUGUGUGGAUUUACUCUUUGUGAGAGGAGCUGGAAACUGUCCUGAGUGUGGCACUCCACUUCGAAAGAGCAACUUCAGGGUACAGCUCUUUGAAGAUCCUACUGUUGACAAGGAAGUUGAGAUUCGGAAAAAAGUGCUAAAGAUAUACAAUAAAAGGGAAGAAGACUUUCCUAGUCUAAGAGAAUAUAAUGAUUUCCUGGAAGAAGUGGAAGAAAUUGUUUUCAACUUGACCAACAAUGUGGAUUUGGACAAUACCAAAAAGAAAAUGGAGAUAUACCAAAAGGAAAACAAAGAUGUCAUUCAGAAAAAUAAGUUAAAGCUGACUCGGGAACAGGAGGAAUUGGAAGAAGCUUUAGAAGUAGAACGACAGGAAAAUGAACAAAGAAGACUAUUUAUACAAAAAGAAGAACAAAUGCAGCAGAUUCUCAAAAGGAAGAAUAAGCAGGCUUUUUUAGAUGAACUGGAGAGUUCUGAUCUCCCCGUUGCUCUGCUUCUGGCUCAGCAUAAAGAUAGAUCUACCCAAUUGGAAAUGCAAAUUGAAAAACCUAAACCUGUAAAACCAGGGACAUUUUCCACAGGCAUCAAAAUGGAGAUACUGCCAAAACAUUUUCCAAAGUGGCUUUUACCAAUCGUACUUCUACCAACACUUGUGCCUUUCUGUUUUUUCCACUGUAAUCAUUCUGGGUCAGCAUAUUUCAUUAGCACCCAUUCAAAAACUUGAAGAAGCUCUGUAUGAAUACCAACCACUGCAGAUAGAGACAUGUGGACCACAGGUUCCUGAGCUUGAGAUGCUAGGAAGACUUGGGUAUUUAAACCAUGUCAGAGCUGCCUCGCCACAGGACCUUGCUGGAGGCUAUACUUCUUCUCUGGCUUGUCACAGAGCACUACAGGAUGCAUUCAGUGGGCUUUUCUGGCAGCCCAGUUAACCUUUAUUUCUCCCCUAUAAGAUCUGGACCUUGGAGCCGAACCAGAGAGCUAGCAAAAGUAAGGCAGACUUGUAAAAUUAUAGCCAUGUACAGCUGCACAACAACAGUCCUACCACUAGCAGCUGCAUUAAAGUAUUUAUAGAGAGAAAUUUUCAGAACUAAGUUGGGUAAUAUAGUGGAUAAAUAUUUGUGGAAAAGAUUUAUUUUUUACUUAUAUUUUUCUGAGCAGGAUUGAAGCCGUAAGCCUCAUCUGAUGGAAGAUAUGAAUAAUUCACCUAUGUGAGUUUGAGGUUGACAGACUUGUAAAAUCUUUUAAAAAAUA